rnacentral:tRNA from 1 species
UCCUCCGUGGCGCAAUUGGCUAGCGCGUUCGACUGUUACUAGCUCGAAAAGAGCAGGGCGAUCGAGAGGUUGACAGUUCAAGCCUGUCCGGGGGAG